rnacentral:rRNA from 1 species
CAGUCGCCACGGUAAUGCGUAGGUGGCAAGCGUUGUCCGGAAUUAUUGGGCGUAAAGGGCUCGCAGGCGGUUUCUUAAGUCUGAUGUGAAAGCCCCCGGCUCAACCGGGGAGGGUCAUUGAAAACUGGGAAACUUGAGUGCAGAAGAGGAGAGUGGAACUCCACGUGUAGCGGUGAAAUGCGUAGAGAUGUGGAGGAACACCAGUGGCGAAGGCGACUCUCUGGUCUGUAACUGACGCUGAGGAGCGAAAGCCGGGGGCGCGAACGGGAUUAGAGACCCCAGUAGUCCCUGUCUCUUAUAC